UCUACCAUGCAGUCGAGCGGAGUUUCGGGGCAACUCGAAGCUCAGCGGCGGACGGGUGAGUAACACGUGGGUAAUCUAUCCGGAAGUGGGGAAUACCUCGCCGAAAGGCGAGCUAAUACCGCAUGAGACCUUCGGGACUCCGGUCCUGACGGUGAAAGGGGGGGCAACCUCUCGCUUCCGGAGGAGCCCGCGUCCGAUUAGCUAGUUGGAGGGGUAACGGCCCACCAAGGCGACGAUCGGUAGCCGGCCUGAGAGGGUGAUCGGCCACACUGGAACUGAGACACGGUCCAGACUCCUACGGGAGGCAGCAGUGGGGAAUCUUGCGCAAUGGGCGAAAGCCUGACGCAGCAACGCCGCGUGGAGGAUGAAGGUCUUUGGAUUGUAAACUCCUGUCGAGCGGGAAGAAGGGCUCGGGGCCAAUACCCCCGGGUUUUGACUGUACCGCCAGAGGAAGCCCCGGCUAACUCCGUGCCAGCAGCCGCGGUAAUACGGAGGGGGCGAGCGUUAUUCGGAAUUAUUGGGCGUAAAGGGCGCGUAGGCGGCCUGCUCAGUCGAAGGUGAAAUCCCCGAGCUCAACUUGGGAACUGCCUUCGAUACUGCCGGGCUUGAGUCCGGGAGGGGAGAGUGGAAUUCCCAGUGUAGCGGUGAAAUGCGUAGAUAUUGGAGGA
rnacentral:rRNA from 1 species